AGUGGCGAACGGGUGAGUAACACGUGAGUAACCUGCCCUUGACUCUGGGAUAAGCCUGGGAAACUGGGUCUAAUACCGGAUAUGACCUUCCAUCGCAUGGUGGUUGGUGGAAAGCUUUUGUGGUUUUGGAUGGACUCGCGGCCUAUCAGCUUGUUGGUGGGGUAAUGGCCUACCAAGGCGACGACGGGUAGCCGGCCUGAGAGGGUGACCGGCCACACUGGGACUGAGACACGGCCCAGACUCCUACGGGAGGCAGCAGUGGGGAAUAUUGCACAAUGGGCGCAAGCCUGAUGCAGCGACGCCGCGUGAGGGAUGACGGCCUUCGGGUUGUAAACCUCUUUCAGUAGGGAAGAAGCGUAAGUGACGGUACCUGCAGAAGAAGCGCCGGCUAACUACGUGCCAGCAGCCGCGGUAAUACGUAGGGCGCAAGCGUUAUCCGGAAUUAUUGGGCGUAAAGAGCUCGUAGGCGGUUUGUCGCGUCUGCCGUGAAAGUCCGGGGCUCAACUCCGGAUCUGCGGUGGGUACGGGCAGACUAGAGUGAUGUAGGGGAGACUGGAAUUCCUGGUGUAGCGGUGAAAUGCGCAGAUAUCAGGAGGAACACCGAUGGCGAAGGCAGGUCUCUGGGCAUUAACUGACGCUGAGGAGCGAAAGCAUGGGGAGCGAACAGGAUUAGAUACCCUGGUAGUCCAUGCCGUAAACGUUGGGCACUAGGUGUGGGGGACAUUCCACGUUUUCCGCGCCGUAGCUAACGCAUUAAGUGCCC
rnacentral:rRNA from 1 species